rnacentral:rRNA from 1 species
AAGUGCUUGGUCGAGAUUGUAAGAUACAUUUAAACAAUGACCUCAAAUCAGGCAAGAAUACCCGCUGAAUUAAGCAUAUCAAUAAGCGGAGGAAAAGAAACUAACAAGGAUUCCCCUAGUAACGGCGAGUGAAGAGGGAAGAGCUCAAAUUUUAAAUCUGCCUUGUUUCAAGGUCGAGUUGUAAUUUGAAGAAGCGUUUUCUUGGGCACGCGACCGGUAGAAGUUCUUUGGAACAGGACAUCAUAGAGGGUGACAAUCCCGUCUGCGACCGGUCGUGCGUUCAUCUACGAUACGCUUUCAAAGAGUCGAGUUGUUUGGGAUUGCAGCUCCAAAUGGGUGGUAAACAUCACCUAAGGCUAAAUAUUGGCGAGAGACCGAUAGCGAACAAGUACCGUGAGGGAAAGAUGAAAAGAACUUUGAAAAGAGAGUUAAACAGUACGUGAAAUUGUUGAAAGGGAAACGAUUGAAGUCAGUCGUGCUGGCGCGAAAUCAACCCUCUCGUCGAGAGGUCACAUGGCGUGGCGAGCCUCAAAACCGUCACGAAGCGUGAACUCUUGGCGAAAAGGAGCACUUUCGUGUCCGCUGGUUAACAUCAAUUUCGAACGUCAUAAAAAGGCUGGAGGGAUGUGGCUCCUUCGGGAGUGUUAUAACCUUUAGCGGAAUGUGGUGGUCGGGAUUGAGGAUUGCAACGAAUACCUUUAGGGCUGUUCCACCUGGCUUCUCUUUGGUAUCCUGGUGACGACAGCUUGCUGACGUUGUUAGGAUUCGCCUUUGAACAGGCUAGAGUGUGAGCAAAUUCGUUAAGGAUGUUAACGUAAUGGCUUUAAACGACC